GACGAACGCUGGCGGCGUGCUUAACACAUGCAAGUCGAACGGAAAGGCCCUGCUUUUGUGGGGUGCUCGAGUGGCGAACGGGUGAGUAACACGUGAGUAACCUGCCCUUGACUUUGGGAUAACUUCAGGAAACUGGGGCUAAUACCGGAUAGGAGCUCCUGCUGCAUGGUGGGGGUUGGAAAGUUUCGGCGGUUGGGGAUGGACUCGCGGCUUAUCAGCUUGUUGGUGGGGUAGUGGCUUACCAAGGCUUUGACGGGUAGCCGGCCUGAGAGGGUGACCGGCCACAUUGGGACUGAGAUACGGCCCAGACUCCUACGGGAGGCAGCAGUGGGGAAUAUUGCACAAUGGGCGGAAGCCUGAUGCAGCAACGCCGCGUGCGGGAUGACGGCCUUCGGGUUGUAAACCGCUUUCGCCUGUGACGAAGCGUGAGUGACGGUAAUGGGUAAAGAAGCACCGGCUAACUACGUGCCAGCAGCCGCGGUGAUACGUAGGGUGCGAGCGUUGUCCGGAUUUAUUGGGCGUAAAGGGCUCGUAGGUGGUUGAUCGCGUCGGAAGUGUAAUCUUGGGGCUUAACCCUGAGCGUGCUUUCGAUACGGGUUGACUUGAGGAAGGUAGGGGAGAAUGGAAUUCCUGGUGGAGCGGUGGAAUGCGCAGAUAUCAGGAGGAACACCAGUGGCGAAGGCGGUUCUCUGGGCCUUUCCUGACGCUGAGGAGCGAAAGCGUGGGGAGCGAACAGGCUUAGAUACCCUGGUAGUCCACGCUGUAAACGGUGGGUACUAGGUGUGGGGUCCAUUCCACGGGUUCCGUGCCGUAGCUAACGCUUUAAGUACCCCGCCUGGGGAGUACGGCCGCAAGGCUAAAACUCAAAGGAAUUGACGGGGCCCCGCACAAGCGGCGGAGCAUGCGGAUUAAUUCGAUGCAACGCGUAGAACCUUACCUGGGUUUGAUAUGGAUCGGGAGUGCUCAGAGAUGGGUGUGCCUCUUUUGGGGUCGGUUCACAGGUGGUGCAUGGCUGUCGUCAGCUCGUGUCGUGAGAUGUUGGGUUAAGUCCCGCAACGAGCGCAACCCUUGUUCACUGUUGCCAGCACGUUAUGGUGGGGACUCAGUGGAGACCGCCGGGGUCAACUCGGAGGAAGGUGGGGAUGACGUCAAGUCAUCAUGCCCCUUAUGUCCAGGGCUUCACGCAUGCUACAAUGGCUGGUACAGAGAGUGGCGAGCCUGUGAGGGUGAGCGAAUCUCGGAAAGCCGGUCUCAGUUCGGAUUGGGGUCUGCAACCCGACCUCAUGAAGUCGGAGUCGCUAGUAAUCGCAGAUCAGCAACGCUGCGGUGAAUACGUUCCCGGGGCU
rnacentral:rRNA from 1 species